rnacentral:rRNA from 1 species
AUUGAACGCUGGCGGCAGGCCUAACACAUGCAAGUCUAGCGAGCGGCGGACGGGUGAGUAAUGUAUGGGGACUGCCCGAUAGAGGGGGAUAACUACUGGAAACGGUGGCUACUACCGCAUACUAUCGGAUAACCCAGCUUGGAUUAGCUAUUAGGUGUGGUAAAGGGGCACCUCGGCGACGAUCUCUAGCUGGUCUGAGAGGCUGAUCAGCGAACCUGGAACUGCGACACGGCCCAGACUCCUACGGAGGCAGCCGUGGGUAAUAUUGCACAAUGGGCGCGAGCCUGAUGCAGCCAUGCCGCAUGUAUGAAGAAUGCCUUAGGGUUGUAAAGUACGUUCAGCGGUGAGGCGUUAACCGCAGAAGAAGCACCGGCUAACUCCGUGCCAGCAGCCGCGGUAAUAC